CCACCCCUGACCCCCCCCCGCCCCCCGCAUUUCAAAGCGCGGAAGUUCAGACGUGUAUCUCCCCUUCUCUCGCGGGGCGGCACCGGGGAGACGAGGAGGGAGGAAGUGGGGCCACUGGGGUGGAUUUAGAGCAGGACCCAAGAGGCCCGGAGGGAUUCACGUGAAAGGUUCUGUCUCCAAGGCAUCAGGAACAGUGGCUUUAACUCCAAUAACUGGCCGAGCAGAAAGGGACCCUCUGCCCACAUCCCGCCCGCGCGCCCGCCCGCCCGGGAGAGCCACCGCCGCCGCCGCCGCCGCCGCCGCCGCCGCUCGGCUCCAAGGGAUCCCGCCGGACCUGCCCCUUCCACUGCGGCUCACUCUGCCCUGCCUGGCGCCAGUCCUGGAUCGCCGGUUUCCUAUUUAUACCACACUGGGCUCCUCUUGACUCACUUUACCAUCCUGUUCCAGGCUGGCGACUUCGCUGCUGAGCUGAAACUGCUAAUUUCUGUGACCAGCUUUUUUCUUAGCUGUGAUCUGGAUGAAUGAGUAGCUGUCUCACAGAGAUGACAAAAAUAAACUCUAAUCCCCCCCAAAAUUUCCACUACAUCUUUCUCAUGCAUAGAUUUAUGAUCUUCAAGCGCUCUGUGCAAUAUGCAAACUUUUUUUUUGUGUCUGUAUAUAUGCUGUUGUUUCCAGAUUUCACUACAUUGGUAUGCUGCUUCCUCCCCCCCACACCAUGAAAUGCAGAAAACGCCUGAUCUCAAAGUAUGCCAAGAUGCCACUUUCUAGUGUCUUGGUAUUUGGGGUUUGAGUUUAAUUUGGAAGACAGUAGCCCUUGCCUAAAAGGUGAGUGGCUGAGUGUGCAAACUGGGGGUGGGGGAAUUAGAGCUGGUAGAGGGACCAGAGGACAGCCCUUUGCUUUACAUUUGUUUCCCUGCACUACUCAAGCCUUAUGAUCUUGUUGGAAAAUAUAUUUUCUCUAUCAUUUUGUCUGGUUAAACAACCAUCUCCAAACUUCUGUGUCAGCUCUUCAACAGAUAAGGGUUCAGAAGUCGUAUUUUUAUUUAAUUGAAAGAUGAUCAUAUUGUUAGCUUUGUCUUUCAAUUAAGAGUCUUUGAUUUGCAGGAGCCAGAAUCAAGUGCUAGGAAAUCCAGCUGCAAUUUCACAAAUGUCACCUUUAAACUUUGGACUUCAUCUGAUAUAGAAGGAUGACCACAUAAAGCUCACGUUUUUGACCCUGCUUAGCAUGCAAAAUGACCUCCCAAACGUUCUGGAAUUUUCACUGUACCAGAGAUUCAUGUGCAUUUUGGUAGAGGACAUGUUCUCUGGACUUAUCUCAUGAUGUAUUGCGCCCUUACAUUUAUAGCCCUACAUUUCGGUUGUCAAUGGGGGUUGGAGGUGUCCAAGAAAGAAAGAAAGAAAGAAAGCAAAAAAGGGAAGACAUGCCCUUGAAUAAAAUGAACAUGAAAGAAAGCUGGACAUGAGUUAAAUUGAAUUUUCUUUGCUAUUAAAUAUAUGAAUAUGAUUCAUUUUAAUUUAUAUGUGCUCUGAUCAGUAAACUUAUUAAUAUACACAUCAGGACACCACUGAAAGGCUGUCUUCGCAUCUUCCCUUUUGAUUUGGGAGAUAUGGAAAGACACCUGCUUAAGAGAGGGGCAGAAAACUGAAAAUUCUUUGGUUUAGAAAUAGGGAUUUCCCCACUUAGAAUAAUAAACAUUAACAUGCAUGUGGGAUAUUUGCUCUUAAAUAAAUGAAGAAGGAUUGAACUGAAACAUUUACUCUUCACAAAGGCCCUUCUCUAUCAAGGUCCUAGGUUAUCUGAGAGUAAGAUACUUUAUUCAGAUCUUGCAGAGAUGCUGCAUUUCACAUUUCAUAUUUAUAACACAAAGCUCAAAUACAUGGUAAAAUAAUAGAAAAGGAUUUAUUUUUUAUUUAUUUAUUUAUUUUUUUUAGAGCAGGGAAAAGAAAGGGAACAGAUUAUCCAAAUCUUCUGGCCCUACUAUUUGUUUUGAAUUUUUUCUUCUUUGAAUUUUCCUUUCUUAUUUAGGUCUUGAACAGGAAGAUUGUGUAAUUGUGACAUAGUGUCUUUUGAAGGGGUUCUGUGCAUUAGCAAUGAAAGCUAUCAAGUACAUGCAGUAUCACCAAAUUCUCGUACACUAACUAUAUAAUUUGUAUAAUAUGCCUUUGAUGUUUACCUAUUAUGAGCUUCCAGUGAAGUAUUUGGAACUAAAUCCAAAGAUGAAUAAGAGUAUUGAUCUCUUAAACUAUUGCCAUCUUUCCAAGUUCUCAUAAAGGAAGUAAGAUGUGUUUUGAGAUCUCAAAAUAACUUGAUUUUGAAUUUCUAUUUUUUUUUUUUACUAAUAGGCUAUAUUGAUCACUAAUUACGAUUACAAGGAUCUUUGUUGCUCCCAAACAACAUGAAAUGCACAUUUUAAGAAUUUUAACUAUAAUUUUGAAGCUUAUUUAACAAUGAGAGUGGAAGGGGAAGAGAAGGGUUGGGUUGGGGUCUUGCAAUUCUAAAACAGCUGUUGAAAGGAAGUGGCUAGGCUGUUUCUUCUGGAUUUUAAAGUUACACUGCAUGAGAAUGUUUAAGAUUUCAGAGAAAAAAUGACAAUUACGGCUGUUUUGAAAGCAACUAAAAAUAACAUUGAUGAUUAAAAAUCCCUUCAUAAUCUAUGUGUAAA